rnacentral:lncRNA from 1 species
GUGUAAUCGUGUUUUUCAAAUGAUCGAAAAACUUCGUAUUUAUAGAAGAAAAAUCACUGUGCAAAUAGUGACAGUGGGACCCACAUCUUUUAUUAUUUCAACAUAUGUGUGCGCCUCUUUGUUUGAAAUUAAGUUUUCGUAACACUCCCCCUUGGGGACCAGUGUCACUCUCCGCUCUCGCUUAACGUCUUUGUUGCCUCGUUAAAAACCUUUCCAGGAAAAACCCAAUGGGAAAAACCAUAGUAAGGUAAAAAGAGUACAACUACGUAAGCUCCCCCUCGAAUGAACAGUCAUAGAUCCUUCUGAUGGCGCAUCCCAAUGUUAUGGAUGUGUUUUCUGAAUACCGAGGUAGGGAGUGAUUUUG